rnacentral:rRNA from 1 species
CCUACGGGAGGCAGCAGUGAGGAAUAUUGGUCAAUGGGCGAGAGCCUGAACCAGCCAAGUCGCGUGAGGGAGUACUGCCCUAUGGGUUGUAAACCUCUUUUGUCGGGGAGCAAAAGCCGGACGUGUCCGGCUGUGAGAGUACCCGAAGCAACAGCAUCUGCUAACUCCGUGCCAGCAGCCGCGGUAAUACGGAGGAUGCGAGCGUUAUCCGGAUUUAUGGGGUUUAAAGGGUGCGCAGGCGGAUUUUUAAGUCAGCGGUCAAAUCGUGGGGCUCAACCCCAUCCAGCCGUUGAAACUGGGGAUCUAGAGUGUGCGAGAGGUAUGCGGAAUGCGUGGUGUAGCGGUGAAAUGCAUAGAUAUCACGCAGAACCCCGAUUGCGAAGGCAGCAUACCGGUGCACAACUGACGCUCAGGCACGAAAGCGUGGGUAUCGAACAGGAUUAGAUACCCGAGUAGUC